GGGGAUGUGGCUCAGUGUUAGAGUGCAUGCUUUGCACGUAUGAGGCCUCGGGUUCAUUCCUGGCAUCUACA
rnacentral:tRNA from 1 species